AGAGUUUGAUCAUGGCUCAGAACGAACGCUAGCGGGAUGCCUCAAACAUGCAAGUCGCACGAGAAUUUGGGUUCGCCCAAUAGUAAAGUGGCGCACGGGUGCGUAACACGUAGCUAACCUCCCCCUUCGCUGGGGACAACAUCGGGAAACCGAUGCUAAUACCGAAUGAUCUGUUGGAGUCUGCGGGCUCUACCGGUAAAGCCGUAAGGCGCGAAGGGAUGGGGCUGCGGUCUAUUAGCUAGUUGGUAGGGUAAAAGCCUACCAAGGCUACGAUAGAUAGCUGGUCUGAGAGGAUGAUCAGCCACACUGGAACUGAAACACGGUCCAGACUCCCACGGGAGGCAGCAGUUGGGAAUAUUGGACAAUGGGAGCAAUCCUGAUCCAGCAAUCCCGCGUGAGUGAUGAAGGCCCUCGGGUCGUAAAGCUCUUUUAGGAGGGAAGAAGGGAAACUUGACGGUACCUCCAGAAAAAGCACCGGCUAACUCUGUGCCAGCAGCCGCGGUAAUACAGAGGGUGCAAGCGUUGUUCGGAAUCAUUGGGCGUAAAGCGCGUGUAGGCGGCCAUCUAAGUCUGGUGUGAAAGCCCAGGGCUUAACCCUGGAAGUGCACUGGAUACUGGAUGGCUAGAGGACGAGAGAGGACAAUGGAAUUCAUGGUGUAGGGGUGAAAUCCGUAGAUAUCAUGAGGAACAUCUGUGGCGA
rnacentral:rRNA from 1 species